rfam:Myotis lucifugus cont2.31994, whole genome shotgun sequence.
AAAUAGGCUUUCUUAAAAGCCAAACUUUGUCUUCCAAAUAAAAU